GACGAACGCUGGCGGCGUGCUUAACACAUGCAAGUCGAACGGAAAGGCCCUGCUUGCAGGGUACUCGAGUGGCGAACGGGUGAGUAACACGUGGGUGAUCUGCCCUGCACUUCGGGAUAAGCUUGGGAAACUGGGUCUAAUACCGGAUAGGAGCCAUCUUUAGUGUGGUGGUUGGAAAGUUUUUUCGGUGUAGGAUGAGCUCGCGGCCUAUCAGCUUGUUGGUGGGGUAAUGGCCUACCAAGGCGGCGACGGGGAGCCGGCCUGAGAGGGGGUACGGCCACAUUGGGACUGAGAUACGGCCCAGACUCCUACGGGAGGCAGCAGUGGGGAAUAUUGCACAAUGGGCGUAAGCCUGAUGCAGCGACGCCGCGUGGGGGAUGAAGGCCUUCGGGUUGUAAACUCCUUUCGCUAGGGACGAAGCUUUGUUGUGACGGUACCUAGAUAAGAAGCACCGGCUAACUACGUG
rnacentral:rRNA from 1 species